UACGAAGGGGGCUAGCGUUGUUCGGAAUUACUGGGCGUAAAGCGCACGUAGGCGGACUACUAAGUCAGGGGUGAAAUCCCGGGGCUCAACCCCGGAACUGCCUUUGAUACUGAUAGUCUCGAGUCCGGAAGAGGUGAGUGGAAUUCCGAGUGUAGAGGUGAAAUUCGUAGAUAUUCGGAGGAACACCAGUGGCGAAGGCGGCUCACUGGUCCGGUACUGACGCUGAGGUGCGAAAGCCAGGGGAGCAAACGGG
rnacentral:rRNA from 1 species